GGUUGAUUGAUUAUUUAUUGGGAAUUAAUACUGAGAGAGUAUACGCAAAGGCUGAGGGCACCAUGCCAUCUUCACAGAACAAGACCCUAACAGCUAACUGACGUACAAGAAACUGCAAAGUUAUACUGUAAGAACACAUAUUAAGGACCGAGGAAAGUCUGCUAAGGUGCUACGUCUAAAACUAAGUUACUUCUUGCUUCGACCCUCCCCCUUCUUUAUAUCAGUCGUCGUCUAGAGCCUCUGUCUUGAUCUCGUUGGCUCCUUGCCGGGCCAAUGCCAAGAUGGUGUGGUUUACCGCUGCCAUUUCCACGGCUAAUGAAAUGGGGUCUUGAUGGUCACUAUGGCUAGUGCUGUCAUCUUGUUUGGAGCAGAUCCUCCUGUCUUCUUCUACCUUCUCUGCUUCUCUGCCUCCCUCUGAACAUCUUCC
rnacentral:lncRNA from 1 species